GCUGCUCGAAGCUUUGCACACCUCUCCGUGGUGAGCAGUAGGCAACACAUGAGAAUGUGGCUAAGAAUGCAG
rnacentral:ribozyme from 1 species